AGAAGACAUUUCUUUCCAUGCAUCCCUUGCUAUCAUAGUGGGGAACCUUUCCCAGAAUCCCUUGCAGACUUUCCCUCAAGUCCCAUUGGCCAGAACCUGCCUAUAAACUAUCCAUGAGAGAAGCAGGAAAAGUGAAUCUGGACAUUUUCCAGUCUCUAUACUGGGCAGUGAACUUUUGCAAUGGUGAAGGAAGAACAGGUCGUGAUCUCCAAGUGAACUGGAGCCUCAUGUUGUGGGAUUGAACCCUGCAUCCUGCACGGAGUCUACUUGUCCCUCUCCCUCUUCCCCUCCUCCUGCUCACUUGCUCUCUCCCUCUCAAAUAAGUAAAUAAAUAAAAUCCUUAAAAAAACUAA